UGACAUUUCAAUCAGCUGCUCCAAAAGAUCUAUUCUUCUGCUUCCUGAUCUCCCAUCAACUGUGUAGCAAAGGUUCUUCUCAUUGGCUCACUGUGAUGGAAAGCACCACAAGGCAAGGAAUUGAGGGCAGCCUCUAGCCAACAUCCAGUGAGGAACUGAGCCCUCAGCCCACAGAGAACUGAAUCUUGUCAAGACCACUGACCUGUGUGCAGAGGCUGGACUGGGUUCUACAACAAUGUUAAUAUGAAAUUGGAAAUUUCAGUGAGAUACAUAUGGCAAUUCAACCUUCAGGCCCCAGCUCAAAUGUCUUUUUUAAGUUUAUUCUCUUAGAUCACCAUGAGAUUUUCUUUCAC
rnacentral:lncRNA from 1 species